rnacentral:snRNA from 1 species
GUCUUUGCGCACGGGCAAUGUCUCCCAAGUGAGGUUUUACCGAUGGGCGACUAUUGCUAAUUGAAAACUACUCCAAUUCCAGCGCGUUCACCUCUCGUAGGUGACCGUGCAAUUUUUGAAACCUUUCUCCUUUUGAUAAUAAAC